rnacentral:rRNA from 1 species
GAUGAACGCUAGCGAUAGGCUUAACACAUGCAAGUCGAGGGGCAGCACAAGGUAGCUUGCUCUCUGGGUGGCGACCGGCGCACGGGUGCGUAACGCGUAUGCAACUUGCCCUAUACAGGAGGAUAACCCGUCGAAAGACGGGCUAAUACUGCGUAUGCUCACAACUUGGCAUCAAGUGGUGAGGAAAGAAAUUCGGUAUAGGAUAGGCAUGCGUCCCAUUAGCUUGUUGGUGAGGUAACGGCUCACCAAGGCAACGAUGGGUAGGGGAACUGAGAGGUUUAUCCCCCACACUGGUACUGAGACACGGACCAGACUCCUACGGGAGGCAGCAGUGAGGAAUAUUGGUCAAUGGGCGCGAGCCUGAACCAGCCAAGUCGCGUGAAGGAUGACUGUCUUAUGGAUUGUAAACUUCUUUUAUACGGGAAUAACAAGAGUCACGGGUGACUCCCUGCAUGUACCGUAUGAAUAAGCAUCGGCUAACUCCGUG